rnacentral:rRNA from 1 species
UACGUAGGUGACCAGCGUUGUCCGGAUUUAUUGGGCGUAAAGAGCUCGUAGGCGGCUUGUCGCGUCGGCUGUGAAAUCCCGUGGCUCAACUGCGGGUCUGCAGCCGAUACGGGCAGACUAGAGUGAUGUAGGGGAGACUGGAAUUCCUGGUGUAGCGGUGAAAUGCGCAGAUAUCAGGAGGAACACCGAUGGCGAAGGCAGGUCUCUGGGCAUUAACUGACGCUGAGGAGCGAAAGCAUGGGGGAGCGAACAGG